GGCAGCAGUGGCCUGUGGGAUGCAGGUAGUCAUGGUACCUCAUGAAAACCUCAGCUCAGACCUAACAACAAAAGCCACCCUGGUGCUGAGUUCCCUCCAUGAAUUCAAGCCUGAACUGUUUGGUCUACCUGCAUUUGAUGAGUAAAGGUGAAAAGCGACCAUGCUACUGUGGGCCUCAUAUAACCCAAGAUCGACUUCACCUUUGGAAUUCAGCUACAAAUUGUCUACUCCUACAAAGGAAUGAGUGCAGAUGACUUCCUCUGGAUGUGGACUUAUUUCACAUAUCUUAGCAAACUACCUUAACAUUAUCAAUGGCCUGUACAUUUGUUUACUCAAUAAUUCUUCUCCAAAUCAA
rnacentral:lncRNA from 1 species